UGGGGAAUUUUGGACAAUGGGUGAAACCCUGAUCCAGCCAUCCCGCGUGUGCGAUGAAGGCCUUCGGGUUGUAAAGCACUUUUGGCAGGAAAGAAACGUCAUGGGUUAAUACCCCGUGAAACUGACGGUACCUGCAGAAUAAGCACCGGCUAACUACGUGCCAGCAGCCGCGGUAAUACGUAGGGUGCAAGCGUUAAUCGGAAUUACUGGGCGUAAAGCGUGCGCAGGCGGUUCGGAAAGAAAGAUGUGAAAUCCCAGAGCUCAACUUUGGAACUGCAUUUUUAACUACCGGGCUAGAGUGUGUCAGAGGGAGGUGGAAUUCCGCGUGUAGCAGUGAAAUGCGUAGAUAUGCGGAGGAACACCGAUGGCGAAGGCAGCCUCCUGGGAUAACACUGACGCUCAUGCACGAAAGCGUGGGGAGCAAACAGG
rnacentral:rRNA from 1 species